GCCUGAAAUACGUAGACAUUCAAGCAGUGCGGUGCGCUAAGAGUCUGCCAUGCAGACCAGCGAUCCUGAUAAUGUUGUCGGCCUUGGAUGAUGAGGUCCAGUUACCAGGAGCACUAGUCUGCAGCUUACUGGUUCCGUCCUGCAGCUCCUCCACACUGUCCUCCUCUCUACAGACCAAAUCAAGAAAAGGGAACCAGGAAGCUGCUGUGGAUCCUCUGCAGUAUCUGGAGAGGUCAGAGGAACGGUUCUUGGAACAGAUCGGAAGACACCAAGACGUGACCUCUGCCAUGCUCCAGAACAUCCAGAAGAUGAAUGAAAACCUUGGUUGCACUGAUGGGACGCAUGGUGUCGGUGCUGGAGCAACUGUCCCAGAAUUAAACUGCAUUGUUGACUAUUGGCUUUUCUAGAAAAUAAAUCUUUUUUAGUACUUCACCUGUUUUGUAUUUUACUCAUGCACUUUGGGUGAAUAAACAGAAAUUUGUGAUGAGA